UACGGGGGGGGCAAGCGUUGUUCGGAAUUACUGGGCGUAAAGGGCGCGUAGGCGGGUUUGUAAGUCGGUUGUGAAAUCCCUGGGCUUAACCCGGGAACUGCAGUCGAAACUGCAAAUCUUGAAUACCUGAGAGGAUGGCGGAAUUCCCGGUGUAGUAGUGAAAUACGUAGAUAUCGGGAAGAACACCUGAGGCGAAGGCGGCUAUCUGGCAGUGUAUUGACGCUGAGGCGCGAAAGCGUGGGGAGCAAACAGG
rnacentral:rRNA from 1 species